ACUAGGAGAAAAUAGCCAACAACAUUAUCCUAUCUCUAUUAUUCCCCGUGAAAUAAAUGCUCGAGAUAUUUUGGUUACUACCACUUGCUACAUUAUUCUAGGAGGGUGAGUGCUCUGAAAAAAAGAGAAAGUGAAUACGAGGAAAUAAAAAGGGGCAAGUGCCUGAAACCUCGAAAAAGAAGAAGAGAGAAAAAGUGAGACGAGAGGUAAAAAUGGACAAGUGUCCGACAGUAGAAUUAGGGGUACAAGAUACCCACCUGAGAGAAAAGAAAAAUAAAAUAUAGAGCAUCUCAUUCCCCUCAAAAGCCUCAAGUGCAAGGAAGGUAUGUGCCCCCUCAAAAGUGCAAAACUAGAAUUAGACUUUCACCAUUAUUUUCACCAUUAUCACCAUUCAUUCGCCACACAUGCACAUCUUGAUUUGAUUUAUUGAGUUGUUCUUCUGGAUCCAUGGUUUGACUAUGGAAUAAAUGUCUUGUAAGUAUGUAUUGGCUAUCUCCCACUUAUGAGCUCCAGAUAUCAAAACCUUAUUAGAGUAGGGUGAGAGAGAAGGCAAUGCCACUAUGCCUCAUACCAAAAAUACCACAUACUUUGAGAGAAGGCAUACACCAUUACUGCCUUGGUAAGGAUCUAGAAAUACCACAA
rnacentral:lncRNA from 1 species